rnacentral:rRNA from 1 species
AGCUAGUUGGUGAGGUAACGGCUCACCAAGGCAACGAUGCGUAGCCGACCUGAGAGGGUGAUCGGCCACACUGGGACUGAGACACGGCCCAGACUCCUACGGGAGGCAGCAGUAGGGAAUCUUCCGCAAUGGACGAAAGUCUGACGGAGCAACGCCGCGUGAGUGAUGAAGGUUUUCGGGUCGUAAAACUCUGUUGUUAGGGAAGAACAAGUACCAUUUGAAUAGGGCGGUACCUUGACGGUACCUAACCAGAAAGCCACGGCUAACUACGUGCCAGCAGCCGCGGUAAUACGUAGGUGGCAAGCGUUGUCCGGAAUUAUUGGGCGUAAAGCGCGCGCAGGCGGUUUCUUAAGUCUGAUGUGAAAGCCCCCGGCUCAACCGGGGAGGGUCAUUGGAAACUGGGGAACUUGAGUGCAGAAGAGGAGAGUGGAAUUCCACGUGUAGCGGUGAAAUGCGUAGAGAUGUGGAGGAACACCAGUGGCGAAGGCGACUCUCUGGUCUGUAACUGACGCUGAGGCGCGAAAGCGUGGGGAGCGAACAGGAUUAGAUACCCUGGUAGUCCACGCCGUAAACGAUGAGUGCAUAAGUGUUAGAGGGUUUCCGCCCUUUAGUUGCUGCAGCAAACGCAUUAAGCACUAA